rnacentral:tRNA from 1 species
AGGGUUGUGGCUCAGUGGUAGAGUGCUUGCCUACCACGCAUGAGGCACUGGGUUCAAUGCUCAGCACCACAU